CACAAAGCUCCGCGCAUACAGCGCACAGCCGGGGCUCCUCAGCCUCGCCUCUCCAUCACCCGCUGCCUUCGCCUCCGAGCUGGGACUGCAGUUAAAAGCUAGGGCUAGGACUUGGAGGAUGUGUAGGCAAACGGAAGGAGAGCCGGGGGAAGAAAAACCGAAAUGGAUUCAUUCUCCGUCCUGGAUGGAGGAGGAGAGGAGAAGAGAAGGGGACGUGCGAGCUUCCUUCAACUGCCUCUGUCCGGUGAAAAGUGCUCAGACCCCCGGGGCUGAGCCGGGCUCAGGAGUCCGCGCGGACUUUCGCUUUAAGCUGCCAAUCAAACCGCUAACUAGCCACCACCCUGCUCUGGCACCGACAUGA
rnacentral:lncRNA from 1 species